AUGUAUCCAUAUGUGUGUUGUGGCGGAAGGGCAAUGUGGAGACGGUGUGCGUGUGAUACAGACAUAGAGAGGUGUGAAUCACACAAUUCAUCCCCAUCCAAGGUUAUACGGCGACCACUCUCGCUUGUGCUUCUUUGCACCCCAACAUGCACAACACCUCAAUCUUCAAAGAGGGCAUCGAGAAGAUCGAAUACGGCGACCACACCGCGCUAG
rnacentral:rRNA from 1 species